rnacentral:rRNA from 1 species
GAAAGGUCAGCUAAUACCGGAUAAGACCACGACCUCCUCGGGGGUUGUGGCCAAAGGCGGCCUCUUCUUGAAAGCUGUCGCUAUGGGAUGAGCCUGCGGCCCAUUAGUUUGUUGGUGGGGUAACGGCCUACCAAGGCAAUGAUGGGUAGCUGGUCUGAGAGGAUGAUCAGCCACACUGGAACUGAGACACGGUCCAGACUCCUACGGGAGGCAGCAGUGGGGAAUAUUGCGCAAUGGGGGAAACCCUGACGCAGCGACGCCGCGUGGGUGAUGAAGGCCUUCGGGUCGUAAAGCCCUGUCGUAAGGGAAGAAAUCGUUGUCGAUUAAUACCCGGCAGCGUUGACGGUACCUUACAAGAAAGCACCGGCUAACUCCGUGCCAGCAGCCGCGGUAAUACGGAGGGUGCGAGCGUUGUUCGGAAUCACUGGGCGUAAAGCGCGUGUAGGCGGCUGUCUAAGUCUGGUGUGAAAGCCCGGGGCUCACCCCCGGAAGUGCGCUGGAAACUGGACAGCUAGAGUAU